GUCCCGUAGAGCAAUGGAUAGUGCGUUGGACGUCUAAUCCAAAGAUCGUGGGCUCGAAUUCCACCUGGGAUG